rnacentral:rRNA from 1 species
AGCAGCCGCGGUAAUUCCAGCUCCAAUAGCGUAUAUUAAAGUUGUUGCAGUUAAAAAGCUCGUAGUUGAAUUUCGGGAUUUGUCAGUUGGUCGGGCUUCACUGUUCGUACUGGCUUGAUGGAUUCUUACCUUCUGAAUAACCAGCAUGCUAUUAAGUUAGUGCGUUGGGGAAGCAGAUCUAUUACCUUGAAAAAUUAGAGUGCUUAAAGCGGGCUUGUGCUUGAAUAGAUUAGCAUGGAAUAAUAAAAUAGGACGGCAUGGUUCUAUUUUGUUGGUUUCUAGGAUCACCGUAAUGAUUAAUAGGGAUAGUUGGGGGCAUUAGUAUUCAAUUGUCAGAGGUGAAAUUCUUGGAUUUAUUGAAGACUAACUUCUGCGAAAGCAUUUGCCAAGGAUGUUUUCAUUAAUCAAGAACGAAAGUUAGGGGAUCGAAGACGAUCAGAUACCGUCGUA